UUGAGCUCUAAUAUGAAUAUAUAUAUAUAUAUAUAUAUAUUGGCCUAAUGUAUGUAUGUGGCAUCACUGGAGCAAAGAAGAUGACAAAUGACUGGAAAAUAAUAACAUAAAGUGUCUUAGUAAAAGCUGCUGGGACCCUCUUUGAUGACGGUGGUGGAGAUUAUCAGCCAUAUGUGUCCCAUCAAUUGGAUUAAGAUCUGGUGAAUGUGAAUGCCACACCAUAUGAUUCAUAUAAUUUUUUUUUUUUUUCUCUCGUGCCCCAUAUGCAGGCAUCUGCAUUUGUUCUUCUCCCUCCAUUCAUUUUCCUUUAUUUUGUCACCAGUCUGUGUGUUCAAGCAGAAAACAAAUAUUCCCAUGUGGGCCCUGAAGGCAUCCUUUUCAGCUUCAUCUUACACUCUGUCGGAGAAAAUGCAGCUCUGCCUACUGCCAGACAUGUUGUUCAGGGAAAACACUGCUGCUGGUUGAGCUGACACAGUUCCACUCUCAGACAACCCAACGGCCCCCCCAGUGCACAAGCGCGAUGGCUCAGGACGUGUCAUUUCAACUUUUGGAGCAGACUCCAACAAAUGAAGCGUGACGCUGCAUGACUGACUGAGCACUCAGGGCCUCGCACAGCAAAUUGGGUCAAACAUUCCUUAUCACUUCUCCUCCCCGUCAAUGAUAUUCUCCUCCCAACUUUAGUUUAAUGAAUCUUCAAUACGGCAGAAGCCUGGGCUGCAAAUCAAAGAAGCCCAGCAGGACAGCAGGCGUUUUACCUUGAUGGCAGUGGAGGCGAUCUGGAUGUGGUGCAGCUUGUGCAGGGUGCUCUCCCUGUCGAUGAAGUAGGAGGCGGCCAGCUGGUGCAGAGCUUCCAGAGUCACAGCUG